rnacentral:rRNA from 1 species
AAAUCUGGCCCCUAGGGUCCGAGUUGUAAUUUGUAGAGGAUGCUUUUGGUGAGGUGCCGCCCGAGUUCCCUGGAACGGGACGCCGCAGAGGGUGAGAGCCCCGUCUGGCUGGCCACCGAGCCUCUGUAAAGCUCCUUCGACGAGUCGAGUAGUUUGGGAAUGCUGCUCAAAAUGGGAGGUAUAUGUCUUCUAAAGCUAAAUAUUGGCCAGAGACCGAUAGCGCACAAGUAGAGUGAUCGAAAGAUGAAAAGCACCUUGAAAAGAGGGUUAAACAGUACGUGAAAUUGUUGAAAGGGAAGCGCUUGUGACCAGACUUGGGCGCGGCGGAUCAUCCGGGGUUCUCCCCGGUGCACUUCGCCGUGUUCAGGCCAGCAUCAGUUCGGCGCGGGGGAAAAAGGCUUCGGGAACGUGGCUCCUCCGGGAGUGUUAUAGCCCGUUGCAUAAUACCCUGCGCUGGACUGAGGACCGCGCAUCUGCAAGGAUGCUGGCGUA